rnacentral:rRNA from 1 species
UGCCAGCCGCCGCGGUAAUACGAAGGGGGCUAGCGUUGUUCGGAAUCACUGGGCGUAAAGCGUAUGUAGGCGGAUCAAAAAGUUAGAUGUGAAAUCCCUGGGCUCAACCCAGGAACUGCAUUUAAAACUAGUGAUCUAGAAUUUGGUAGGGGUUAGUAGAAUUUCCAGUGUAGAGGUGAAAUUCGUAGAUAUUGGAAAGAAUACCAGUGGCGAAGGCGACUAACUGGGCCAUUUUUGACGCUGAGAUACGAAAGCGUGGGUAGCAAACAGGAUUAGAUA